rnacentral:rRNA from 1 species
AGUGAACGCUGGCGGCAGGCCUAAUACAUGCAAGUCGAACGGCAGCACGGCAGAGGCUUGCUCUGUGGGUGGCGAGUGGCGGACGGGUGAGGAAUACAUGGGAAUCUGCCCAGUCGUGGGGGAUAACGUAGGGAAACUUACGCUAAUACCGCAUGCGCCCUUCGGGGGAAAGCCGGGGACCUUCGGGCCUGGCGCGAUUGGAUGAGCCCAUGUCGGAUUAGCUAGUUGGCGGGGUAAUGGCCCACCAAGGCGACGAUCCGUAGCUGGUCUGAGAGGAUGAUCAGCCACACUGGAACUGAGACACGGUCCAGACUCCUACGGGAGGCAGCAGUAGGGAAUAUUGGACAAUGGGCGCAAGCCUGAUCCAGCCAUGCCGCGUGAGUGAAGAAGGCCCUCGGGUUGUAAAGCUCUUUUGUCCGGAAAGAAAAGCGCCGGGUUAAUACCCUGGUGUCCUGACGGUACCGGAAGAAUAAGCACCGGCUAACUUCGUGCCAGCAGCCGCGGUAAU